CAGCAGCCACGGUAAUACGUAGGUGGCAAGCGUUGUCCGGAAUUAUUGGGCGUAAAGGGCUCGCAGGCGGUUUCUUAAGUCUGAUGCGAAAGCCCCCGGCUCAACCGGGGAGGGUCAUUGGAAACUGGGAAACUUGAGUGCAGAAGAGGAGAGUGGAAUUCCACGUGUAGCGGUGAAAUGCGUAGAGAUGUGGAGGAACACCAGUGGCGAAGGCGACUCUCUGGUCUGUAACUGACGCUGAGGAGCGAAAGCGUGGGGAGCGAACAGGAUUAGAUACCCGUGUAGUCCCUGUCUCUUAUAC
rnacentral:rRNA from 1 species